rnacentral:rRNA from 1 species
UACAGAGGGGCAAGCGUUGUUCGGAAUUACUGGGCGUAAAGGGCGCGUAGGCGGCCUUCUAAGUCGAACGAUUGAAAUCCCCGGGCUCAACCCGGGAACUGCGUCCGAUACUGGAAGGCUUGAAUCCGGGAGAGGGUAUGCGGAAUUCCAUGGUGUAGGCGGUGAAAUGCGUGAGAUAAUCUGGAGGAACACCGGUGGCGA